AUGUGCAUUCCUACAACAUAGCGUUAAUGCUACCAAUCCCAUUAGAACUCCGCAGUUAAGCAUGCUUAGGCUAGAAUAGUACUCGGAUGGGUGAUGUCCCGGGAAAUCCUAGUGUUUUACAUU
rnacentral:rRNA from 1 species